UACAGAGGAGGCAAGCGUUGUUCGGAAUUACUGGGCGUAAAGCGUGCGCAGGCGGCGCGUUAAGACAGGUGUGAAAGCCCCGAGCUUAACUUGGGAAUUGCGCUUGUGACUGGCGUGCUGGAGUGUGGCAGAGGGAGGUGGAAUUCCACGUGUAGCAGUGAAAUGCGUAGAGAUGUGGAGGAACACCGAUGGCGAAGGCAGCCUCCUGGGCCAGCACUGACGCUCAUGCACGAAAGCGUGGGGAGCAAACAGG
rnacentral:rRNA from 1 species